CAACACACCUUUUCUUUUUGAUUUUUUUUUUGUAUUUAUUUUCAAUGUGAAAUCAUUACACACAUUUUCUGUAUACGGGUACAAAAUACAGAAUACCGAAUUUGAGAAAAGUGGGUACAAUACCAGGUACGAUAUGUUACCAGACAUGUGUACGAUACCAGGCAUGCCUAUUAGGGGUACGACGUACAGGUAUUCUGCAUCCCUACAUACAACCCCCUCAACAUGCUUUCCUCAACGUAGAAUACUUUGGCCUUUUUGCUCUCUUACCAAUUUUCCUCUCAUGGCUCGAAGAAUUAAGGAAUGGUGUCAAUUGAAAGUUGUGGACCGCAAUUGGUUUUCGGCUGAAGUUAAGGGUGUUUGAUGAAUCAUAAAUGUCUUCAUCUUUAAGAAUAAGUGUGCUUAACAAAUUUAAAAAAAUGUCUCAUUAUAUAUCCUUCAUAUGUUAGAAAUAGAAAAAGGCUAGAAAAACAUCUUAUGUGUGGGUUUACUUUGAGAAGAUAACCGGUGAAGACGGAUUGCCACAAACAAGAUGCCUCCUCUGCGACAAAGUGUUUAGUGCUCGUCCCAAACCAAAUAUAUCAACAAUGUCACGACACUUACUCAAGUGUUGUUCACAGCCUUCAACCCAAGUUAGCCCAACCCAGUCUAGUUUUAAUUAAAUGAGGUGAAUGGUGUUCUUACAUAUUAUAAUUUAGUAUAUAAAUAAAUGAGUAGGAGUCGAGUUAAUUAUAUCUAUCUUCACUACUCAGCUGCAUUGUUACUUAUCUUCCACCAUUGACCACCACCUCGAUCGUUUGAAAACAUGGAGAAUGCGGUUGAACAACCAUCACCAUCUGCGCCCACUCGUGUGAAGUCUCUAGUCGUGGCUUCGUAGAUCACUUACCUCAAAACUCUUGCAAUGACCUUUUUCACUUACCUGAAGAUGAUAUUAAGCAACAUGAUAAAGAAAAAGUUAACAACGAUAGUCGAGUUUUCCAUGACUAUCAAGAAAACAUGGGUUGAUGAUCCAAGAACCUCUACACAUUCUUUGAAAGUGGCGUUGGCGGUCACACUCAUCUCUAUGGUUUACUAUAUCCAACCAUUGUAUAAAGGAGGAUUAGGUGAUGCCGGAACAUGCGCUACCGUGACUGUCAUCAGGGUUUUCGAUUACACUGUGGGUGAAACCCUACAUAAAUGCAUGAACAACAGUUGGGGAACUCUACUAGGUUGUGUUUUAGGAGUCGGGGCCUAAUCACUUGGUAGUCUAUUCGGGCCAAUGGUUAAACCCGUUGUUGUUGGUUCCCUUGUUCUAAUCGUUGUUGUUGUCGACAGCUUCUCAAGACAAAUACCGAGCAUAAAGGUGAAGCAUGAUAAUAGGGUGGCGGCGUUUAUAGUGGCUUUCACUCUCGUAUCUAUGUCUGGUUACCGAGUCCACAAAAUCGUGGAGCUUGCGCAUUGACAGUUUUCAGCAAUCGGUUUCACCGUAUUAGUGUGUAUAGUCAUCUUCGUGUGUGUUUUCCCGGUGUGGGACGGUGAAGAUCUUCACAAACACAUGGUCAUUAACCUAGAAAACAUUAUCAGCUUCCUAGAAGGGUGAGGUUAUUGUAAAAAAAGGUGUUUUUUUUUUGUGAGAAGGGUAACUCGAUGAAACUAAUGGUUUACCCUUCUGCUUUGGCUGUUCAUAUGAAAAAUUGCAAAAAAGGCGGUAGAUGAGCUCAAUACCGUGUUAAAAGUUUCUCUAGUAGCCCAACGGGACAACAUCCUGCAAGCCAUACCGGUGAUUGCAGCCACUUCGAUAUUGGUUGACAUCAUAAAAUGUGUUGAAACAAUAUCCAAGGCCAUCCAAGAACUUUCUGAACAAACAUGCUUCAAGAAAUGAGAACUAGAUGAUGAUGAAAAUGCACACUCUAUUGAUAAUAAACAAGUGAACACUGUAUUGUAAUAUUUAAAAACCACACUCGGUUAAUACGAAAUAGUAUAACUUUUUUUAGUAUAACCUACUUCUGUAUUUAGAAAUUGGAGCAUUCGAUUUAUGUAGCAGCGCACAGUUGUCGGAUUUGA